ensembl:snRNA U6 U6 spliceosomal RNA
GUGCUCGCUUAGGCAGCACAUACACUAGAAUUGGAACAAUGCAGAGAAGAUGAGCAUGGCCCCUGCACAAGCAUGAAAUGCAAAUUUGUGAAGUGUUCCAUAUUUUU